AAGCAAUGACUGCUCCUCUUCUAUUGAAAGCCAAAGACACCAGUGAGCUUUCCAGUGAAACUUGUGCUGCCCUCCAGCUGUGCCUUGAACUGCUGUCAAAACAAGAAGAGGGACAAUACACUCUCGCAGGCACACUUCCACAUGCCAGCGCAUCCGAGCACAAGAGAAAGAAGGGACACUGACGGCAUGUUUCUCCAGGAUCUGCAAAGGUGUGGAGCAUAAAGUUAGAGCAAGAGGUAGAGCAC